rnacentral:tRNA from 1 species
UUUUUUAUGGCCGAGUAGGCAAUAGAUUUUUAAUCUAUGCACGGAUUUUCCUUUGCGGU